UCAAGGACAGGUUACCUAUCACUGACAGCAUGAAUGACAAGUCAAGGACAGGUUACCUAUCACUGACAGCAUGAAUGACAAGUCAAGGACAGGUUACCUAUCACUGGCAGCAUGAAUGACAAGUCAAGGACAGGUUACCUAUCACUGACAGCAUGAAUGACAAGUCAAGGACAGGUUACCUAUCACUGGCAGCAUGAAUGACAAGUCAAGGACAGGUUACCUAUCACUGACAGCAUGAAUGACAAGUCAAGGACAGGUUACCUAUCACUGGCAGCAUGAAUGACAAGUCAAGGACAGGUUACCUAUCACUGGCAGCAUGAAUGACAAGUCAAGGACAGGUUACCUAUCACUGGCAGCAUGAAUGACAAGUCAAGGACAGGUUACCUAUCACUGGCAGCAUGAAUGACAAGUCAAGGACAGGUUACCUAUCACUGGCAGCAUGAAUGACAAGUCAAGGACAGGUUACCUAUCACUGGCAGCAUGAAUGACAAGUCAAGGACAGGUUACCUAUCACUGGCAGCAUGAAUGACAAGUCAAGGACAGGUUACCUAUCACUGGCAGCAUGAAUGACAAGUCAAGGACAGGUUACCUAUCACUGACAGCAUGAAUGACAAGUCAAGGACAGGUUACCUAUCACUGACAGCAUGAAUGACAAGUCAAGGACAGGUUACCUAUCACUGACAGCAUGAAUGACAAGUCAAGGACAGGUUACCUAUCACUGACAGCAUGAAUGACAAGUCAAGGACAGGUUACCUAUCACUGACAGCAUGAAUGACAAGUCAAGGACAGGUUACCUAUCACUCAGAUGAAAGCAGUAUCAUUAUUGUUCUUUUUAGUGCCAUUCUAACAUCCCUUUGAAAGCACAGAGCUUUAUUCUGCAUGAAGAGGGGGGAUUGGUGUGAAGAUCAGGCCAUUGAUUUGUGCCCAGUUUCUAAAAACUAGCACAUAGACGAUAUCAACAGAGUGAGAGAGAAAGAAAAAGAAAGAGAGAGAACAAGAGAGAGCGAUGUCACUGCUAAGCAAGUAGUGAAACAUGAUGACACAGCAUUAUCACACCUUAGCAGUGAAACAUGGUGACACAGCAUUAUCACACCCCAGUAGUGAAACAUGGUGACACAGCAUUAUCACACCCCAGUAGUGAAACAUGGUGACACAGCAUUAUCACACCUUAGCAGUGAAACAUGGUGACACAGCAUUAUCACACUUUAGCAGUGAAACAUGGUGACAUAGCAUUAUCACACCUUGGUAGUGAAACAUGGUGACACAGCAUUAUCACACUUUAGCAGUGAAACAUGGUGACACAGCAUUAUCACACCCCAGUAGUGAAACAUGGUGACACAGCAUUAUCACACCUUGGUAGUGAAACAUGAUGACACAGCA